rnacentral:rRNA from 1 species
UACGUAGGGGGCAAGCGUUGUCCGGAUUUAUUGGGCGUAAAGAGCGUGUAGGCGGCCAGACAGGUCAGCUGUGAAAACUCGAGGCUCAACCUCGAGACGUCGGUUGAAACCGUCUGGCUAGAGUCCGGAAGAGGAGAGUGGAAUUCCCGGUGUAGCGGUGAAAUGCGCAGAUAUCGGGAAGAACACCCGUGGCGAAGGCGGCUCUCUGGGACGGUACUGACGCUGAGACACGAAAGCGUGGGUAGCAAACAGG